UACGUAGGGUGCGAGCGUUGUCCGGAAUUACUGGGCGUAAAGAGCUCGUAGGUGGUUUGUCGCGUUGUCCGUGAAAACUCACAACUCAAUUGUGGGCGUGCGGGCGAUACUGGCAGACUGGAGUACUGCAGGGGAGACUGGAAUUCCUGGUGUAGCGGUGGAAUGCGCAGAUAUCAGGAGGAACACCGGUGGCGAAGGCGGGUCUCUGGGCAGUAACUGACGCUGAGGAGCGAAAGCGUGGGGAGCGAACAGG
rnacentral:rRNA from 1 species